ensembl:lncRNA
UUUGGCGGGAUUUUUUUUGGUAGAACAACAGUUGGAAUCCCGGCGUAAGUCUAAAACUGAUUUGACGAAAAGCUAUGAUCAGAAUGUGUGUGUUGUGCAGUUUAGUGAUCAUGCUGAUACCUGCCUUAGGUUCCUGUGUACAAUAUGAGGUGGUGGAAGUAAUUGAGGGUGGAGAUGCUAUCCUAAACUUCACAGCUUCUAGAUUGACUAUUUUCUACAAAAUGCAUUGUGAAAAUCGGACUAAAAUCACUCAGAUUGGUCGAUACUGUGGCCUUGAUGAUAACUGCAGCACCAGCUCGAGAACACCUGAGGUUUCAAUAGAGACUGGCCGUCUAAUUCUACAUAAUAUCACCUACAACAGAUGCUACAGUGCAAAAACUGUAAAACGCCAAAUUUUAUUUUAUAAUGUUACCGUCAAAGAAUUACACUUUACCAUCAGCACAGAAAUGCCCAUCUUAAAAUUCACUACUGAAACACCCGACUAUUCUUUAACCUCAGACAAUUUCUGCAACAAUACAUCAUCCAAUGCAACCACCACACAUAUUGCUGGUGCUGUUGUGAUCUUGGUGCUCAUUGGUUUGUUCGUUAUCUGGUACAAAUGCACACCAGCAGAGGUACUUGCCAGUGAACGCAAACGUUGCAGGGUGAUGCUGGCUAAAGUGUCUCAUGAAGAAAUCAUCAUGGGUGAGUCCUCACAGGUGUCUUUGGCCCCCUUUACACCCGCCACAAACAGGUUUUUUUAUAUAGUAUCUGAAUUAGCUAGCAUUUGCACCAUGCAUUCCAAUGUGCCUCCACUUGGAUAA